UACGGAGGGUGCAAGCAUUGAUCGGAAUUACUGGGCGUAAAGGGCGCGUAGGCUGUGAGAUAAGUCAGAUGUGAAAUUCCGUGGCUCAACCACGGAGCUGCAUUUGAAACUGUCUUACUUGAGUGCAGUUAGGGAAAACGGAAUUCCACGUGUAGCGGUGAAAUGCGUAGAUAUUGGGAAGAACACCGGUGGCGAAGGCGGCUCUCUGGACCGAUACUGACGCUGAGGCGCGAAGGUCAGGGGAGCAAACGGG
rnacentral:rRNA from 1 species